GGAUGUGAGGGCAAUCUGGCUGUGACAUCUGUCACCUCACUGAUCACCAGGGUUGAUUCUCUGCUGAUCUGGCUGGCUAGGCGGGUGUCCCCUUCCUCCCUCACCGCUCCAUGUGCAUCCCUCCCGAAGCUGCGCACUAGGUCCAAGAGGACGGCCUUCCCCGAAUAGAGACGACCGGUCUUUAGUCUAGGGUGUAGCUGUGUGUGUGUGUGUGUUUCUCUCUCUCUCUCUCUCCUGUGUCUAUCUUUAAAAAAUUAAAUAAAUAAAUGUUAGAAGAAGGCAACCUGGAGCCAGGUGGUGGCACACCUGGUU
ensembl:misc_RNA 7SK 7SK RNA